rnacentral:rRNA from 1 species
UACGUAGGGGGCAAGCGUUGUCCGGAAUUAUUGGGCGUAAAGGGUGCGUAGGCGGCCCAUCAAGUUGGAUGUGAAAUCCCCGUGCUUAACAUGGGAAUUGCAUUCAAAACUGAAGGGCUUGAGUGUGGAAGAGGUAAGUGGAAUUCCCAGUGUAGCGGUGAAAUGCGUAGAUAUUGGGAGGAACACCAGUGGCGAAGGCGACUUACUGGGCCACAACUGACGCUGAGGCACGAAAGCGUGGGGAGCAAACAGG